rnacentral:rRNA from 1 species
AUUGAACGCUGGCGGCAGGCCUAACACAUGCAAGUCGAACGAGUGGCGGACGGGUGAGUAAUGUCUGGGAAACUGCCUGAUGGAGGGGGAAAACUACUGGAAACGGUAGCUAAUACCGCAUACCAUCAGAUGUGCCCAGAUGGGAUUAGCUAGUUGGUGGGGUAACGGCUCACCAAGGCGACGAUCCCUAGCUGGUCUGAGAGGGUGACCGGCCACACUGGAACUGGGACACGGUCCAGACUCCGACGGGAGGCAGCAGUGGGGAAUAUUGCACAAUGGACGCAAGCCUGAUGCAGCCAGGCCGCGUGACUGAAGAAGGCCUGCGGGUUGUAAAGCACUUGCAGCGGGGAGGCGUUACCCGCAGAAGAAGCAACGGCUAACUCCGUGCCAGCAGCCGCGGUAAUAC